UACGUAGGGUGCAAGCGUUAAUCGGAAUUACUGGGCGUAAAGCGUGCGCAGGCGGUUAUGCAAGACAGAUGUGAAAUCCCCGGGCUCAACCUGGGAACUGCAUUUGGGACUGCAUAGCUAGAGUACGGUAGAGGGGGAUGGAAUUCCGCGUGUAGCAGUGAAAUGCGUAGAUAUGCGGAGGAACACCGAUGGCGAAGGCAAUCCCCUGGACCUGUACUGACGCUCAUGCACGAAAGCGUGGGGAGCAAACAGG
rnacentral:rRNA from 1 species